GACGAACGCUGGCGGCGUGCUUAACACAUGCAAGUCGAACGGAAAGGCCCUGCUUUUGUGGGGUGCUCGAGUGGCGAACGGGUGAGUAACACGUGAGUAACCUGCCCUUGACUUUGGGAUAACUUCAGGAAACUGGGUCUAAUACCGGAUAGGAGCUCCUGCUGCAUGGUGGGGGUUGGAAAGUUUCGGCGGUUGGGGAUGGACUCGCGGCUUAUCAGCUUGUUGGUGGGGUAGUGGCUUACCAAGGCUUUGACGGGUAGCCGGCCUGAGAGGGUGACCGGCCACAUUGGGACUGAGAUACGACCCAGACUCCUACGGGAGGAAGCAGUGGGGAAUAUUGCACAAUGGGCGGAAGCCUGAUGCAGCAACGCCGCGUGCGGGAUGACGGCCUUCGGGUUGUAAACCGCUUUCGCCUGUGACGAAGCGUGAGUGACGGUAAUGGGUAAAGAAGCACCGGCUAACUACGUG
rnacentral:rRNA from 1 species